rnacentral:piRNA from 1 species
UUGAUAUGAGAAAAUCAAAUU